ACCGACAUGCGUUUUCUUUAGGCGAAUUUUCGUGAGUGCGCUUUAAAUAUGCGCAUGAGUUGAAUGGCAACGCAGCUACUGUCUUGUCGUAAACCUUCCAACCCCUCCUCCCUCUUCAACCCCCCAGUUUGUCCUUCCUGCCUCUUUUCUGUUGAUGUCCCUCUAUAAAACUCAUCCUUCCCCCUUCAGUUCAUGCUUUACUUAAAAAUGAACACAGAGAUACUGACUCACAGUGGAUCGCUGAUUUCAAUGUAUCCCCAUCACUGGGUUUACUAUAUAAACACACUGUAUGUGAGGGAAUGUAUUUAGUCUAUUCUGAGGCAUCUUACAUUUCCCUUUUAUUAUUUUGCAGUUGUUGUAAGACUACACUGUUGGUUUGUUGCUCUUUUGUUGUUGUCAAAUUCUUUAUCUUACCCCUCACAAACCCUCUUUCUGUUUCCAUCUGCUCAGCCGAAGGAUUCAGGGGAUGAACUGUGGCAUGCAAACAUGGGGCACCCCUGGUCAAAAGUGAUUUUACUGUGAAUAGCUAAGUGAGUAGAUGACGAACUGACCUCCAAAAGGAAUGAAGUUAAAGAUGAAACAUUUCAAGCAAGAUUAGUAUAUUACUUUUGUUUUGUAACAAUUUUAAGAGUGAAAAUAGGAAAGGAAGCACCAUACAAAAGUUUGGGCAUUCCAAGAGAUUUGCGCUCCCAGAUAUUUCGAAAAGAGCAGGUGAUACAGAUCUCAAAGCUUUAUAAAUACUCCGACUCCUCAAACCUUGUCCCAACAAUCAGCAGCCGUGGGAUGCUCCAAGCAGCUGCUCAGCACUCUACACAUUUAAAUAUUUGGUGCCCAUAAAGCAGGAGAAGGCAAGGAGAAGAUAGCAAAGCGUUCUCAGGAGCUAUUUCCUCCGUUUGGAACGUUAUUAACAAACGGCAGUUAAUAAGAACGGUGGAGGUCAAGUUGAGGUCUGGAGAACUAAGAAGACCUGCCGAGAGAAUUGCUCAUUGGAUUGCUAAAAAGGCCAAUGAAAACCCCCAUUUGACUGCUAGAGAAUAUUUAAUAUUCAGGAAUAUUGAACAGACUCUGGAGUGGUUGUGGACUGUUCUACCGUGCAGCAACACCUGCAAAAUAUGACCUUCAUGGAAGAGUCAUCAGAAGAAAACCUUUCCUGCAUCCUUCACCACCAAAUUUGGCAUCAGACUUUUGCACACGAACAUCUAAACAAGCCUGAUGAACUGAGGAUGUUAAAAUAGAACAUUUAGGCCUGAAUGAGCAAAGGUAUGUUUGGAGAAAAAAAGCGUGCAGAAUUUCAUGAAAAGAACACCCCUCUAUCUGUGGAUUGAUCGUGCUUCGGCUUGUGUUGCAGCCAGUGGCACGUGGAACAGUUCACUGGUAGAGGUGAAAAAUGGAUUCAAUUAAAUACCAGAAUAUUCUGGAAGCAAACGCACCACACUGUCUGUAAAAAAGCUGAAGAUGAAAGAGGAUGGGUUCUACAACAGGGAGAUGAUCUACAUCCAGCUGAGGCUUUUGCAAGGAAGAAUGGGCAGAAAUCCCCUAAACAAGACCUGAAAAACUCUCCGCUGGCUUUGAAAAAGCAUUUACAAGCCGUGCUCCUUGCCAAUGUGGGUGUAACUAAGGACUGACCAUGCAGGGUGCCCAACGCUUCGCUUCAGGCAGUUUUCCUUCUUUGUUAUUUUCAAACUGUAGAUGGAAAUUUAAGUAAUCUUGCUUAAAAUAUAAAAAAAAUGUGUCAUCUUUUAACUAUGCCUUGUGGAAAUCAGGUCAUCUUUGACUCACUUGGCUAUUUACAGUAACAAGAAAUUUUGACCAGGAGCGCCCGAACUUUUGCAUGCCACUAUAAAUGAUAAGGCUGCAUUGCGACAUGAAGAAUUGCACGAACACUGCAGAUCGAACCCCCCCGAAGCACACCCUGAUCAUACACCCAAAGCGGGGGUCCUUGCGCACCAGGACAACUCAGCACAUUCAAACUCAUUUAUAUAACAUGGUGACGCAGCAAAUUACCCAUGCUUGUUACCUCUUCCAAGUUGAAGCACUGAGGCUAUGUAUGCGGUCUCACACACCAUGAAUCAUAAUCUUUGGUGAUGCAGUCUUGGUGACUAGCACACAGGGCUGCGUGUUCAUGUGCAUGCAAGACCCAUGUUCACUCUCUGAAGUGGGAAAGAGCAGAAAGGUUGAGAGUUAUGUAACAUUCCCUCAGCAUCAUUUCACUACUCUUUCUGUCCAAUCCAUUGGCAUGUGCUUGGCAUGAAAGCCUUGGGCUAAUACAGAGCCAGCUGGCGAUUCUAUGCCAGCUUUAGCUGUGCACCCUCUCCACUAAAUCCAUCCCACGCCCCUCCCCCUCCGACACUGACCUUCCAAUUACUGCUCUACCCAUCACUUGUUCACCCAUCCCCCCCUUCCCUCCCCUCCCUCGCUCUCAAGUAGGAGGGGAGGAGGUUGGGGAAAUUCCACUAGGACAUUGUCUAGUCCAUUGCCAUUACACAACCUUGAAUAGUGAAUGGCAUCAGUUGAUUAUGUGCAUGGCAGAUGCACAAGGUAGGGAAAGAGAACAGACUCGUGUUUGAUUGAGAGGAAGUCGGGCCAUACUCCAUACUCCCGGAGGGUGGGCACAAGCAUGUUUGCUUCCAUCGGAAGGGAUUUGAUGGAAAAGCCAGAGUGAAAUAUAAGAGGCUGUAACUUGACUCUCAGUUGUAAAAGGACUCCAGGAGUAGCUUGUAAUAGUAGCCCUGUAUGAAUGAUGUGGUCACGACUGACUGGCAUCAUGUAUCUGUUAUUCUUUCAACUGUAAACUCACUCUCACCUUUCUGCUCUUACCAAGAGAGCACAGAAAACCAUCCACCCAAAAGAUCAAGCAGAGAAACUGACAAAGGCGGUAUUGUAUAGUAUUGUGGUAUUUUUUUAGUCUCUCAUCUUCUAGAUGAAUUCUAGGUAACCGUGUCACUCAUUCCUGUAUAAGAGCUCAGCUGGCUCGCUGGCUUGUGUGUCUCUCAAUGUGUCCAGUGUCUGUUUCUGAGGACAAUGUCUCGUCUGUAUAGUGUGUAUCUUUUAAGGACCAAUUAGUGGAUUCAAUCUAAAUGAGUGGGGUUGCUUGCCAGGGUCCUAUUAACUGCUGCCCCACAACCCCAGUCAAAAACACAUAGAAAAUCCUUAUUUACUGAGAAUAACUCCAACUCCAUCUAUUCCAUAUUUGAUUUCAUAGUGGAGUCUCUCCCAGUCUCCUCUCCUCUCCCCCC
ensembl:lncRNA